GGAUGCGGGCAGCACCGAGACGGAAGCGCGGCAGGACGGGAGCGGUGCUGAGGACAGCGGCGCCGGAGGGGAGCCGGGCAGCGGUACUGCAGCUCGUCUGGCAGCUUUGCAGCUGAGUUGGGAAGUAGAAGAUGUGGCUGUGAAAGAAGAAGUCAGUUGCUGGGACGUCCCCCUGUUCUUCCCCUAGCUGUCCCCUUGCCUCAGCCAGGAUUCCCCUUGCAUUCCUGUAGGAUUCCCUUCCAUCCUCCUGGUUGUCCCUUGCUUUCCCCAAGGUUGCUCUUUCCUUUCCCAUGACAGCCCACCCAUCAUUCUCUCAAAGCCCCAAUAUCCACCCCAGUGUUUCCCCAGCAAGACCCCUAGAGACGCCCUGUAGCCCCCCACAGAGCACCAUACACCCUCUAGGACCUCCUCAGACCCGGUACGCCUCCCCCAUAGCUGGCCCAUACGCACACGGAGCCCCACAGUCCCCAGCAUCACCCCAUGUAACCCACUGGCCUCCUGCAGGACCCCCGUGUUUCCUCUAUUUCCUCCUUCUGACCUCCUUUCCCACCUCCAAGACCCCAACCCCGGGAUCUCACCGAUUCCCACAGCCCCUGACAGGACCCCUGUCACCAUCCCAGGAACCCCAUAGCCCACCUGAGGGCCCUCCUCAACCCCAUCCCCAUCAAGCUCUUGUACAGCCAUAGGGUGCUGGGGCAGGGGUGGCUGCUGCAGGAGAGGAAUGCGGGGCUGGAGCAGGUGCAGGGCACAGCUGUGGGUGAAAGGGAUGUGAGGGGCACUGUGGGUCCAGGAACGUAGGGGUUGUGGGGGCACGUGGGGAGCGGUUUGGGGUGAGAAUGGAGGAUGUGCGGUGGUGUUGGAGUGCACUGGUUGAUUUCUUCCUGGGAGGGGAUUGGGGUUCCCUUUGGCCCAAAGGUGGAGCCCUGAUCCAUAACCCCACAUGAGCCCAGAACCCCAUAUAACUCUGCAUGAGCCCAAGGCUCCACAUGACCCAUAACCGUGUGAGCACCGUAAGCCCAUAUGAGGCUGAGGGCAGUGGUGGGUCUGUUACUGGCUAGGUCAGGAAGUACUCUAGGGUGGCUCUGGGGCCGCUGUAGAAGAGCACUCUACAUCUGCCCCUGACCCUCAUCUUGGGGGGUAAGAUGGGGGUGCAGGGGUUAGUGGAGGGCUAAGGAAGAGAUUCCAUGAGUAUGAACCAUAGCAGCCCCAGAGCCAUCCUAGAGCAGCGCCAUCACUGCCCACGGCCCAUGGCCAGCAGCAGUUCCACCACAAGCUGUGUGUUGGGUCAAGGCAGCUCCUAGGUGUUGCUCUGCUUCAUAGCUGCCCCAAAGUGCUCCUG